GUCCACGCCGUAACGUUGGGCGCUAGGUGUGGGAACCUUCCACGUUCUCCGUGCCGCAGCUAACGCAUUAAGCGCCCGCCUGGGGAGUACGGCCGCAAGGCUAAAACUCAAAGGAAUUGACGGGGCCCGCACAAGCGGCGGAGCAUGUGGCUUAAUUCGACGCAACGCGAAGAACCUUACCAAGGCUUGACAUACAGGGAAAAUCUCCCAGAGAUGGGAGGUCCGCAAAGGGCCCUGUACAGGUGGUGCAUGGUUGUCGU
rnacentral:rRNA from 1 species